rnacentral:tRNA from 1 species
GGACAGCACUUUCUCUGGUACCAUGAAACCUGCCUUACAAGCAGGAGGUCGCAGGUUCGAGUCCUGCACUGCCCACCA